GGACACAGCUACAGCAGGACAAAGUCGCCGCUGAACUCAACGUCGAGGCCUUAACCAUCGACGACACCAAAACGCUCACAUCACUGCGGGAAACACUCAUAGAAAAUUAAAUUCUACAAGUUUUGUAAGAAAGUGGAGAUAGUAUUGAAGAGGCUCCCAACUGUCAAAAUCUGACAACAAUCCUACAGUCUUUUCCUCCAUUCGAAUCAAGGUUAAAG